UCCGUAGGCGGGUAAUUAAGUCAGAGGUGAAAUCCCACAGCUUAACUGUGGAACUGCCUUAGAUACUGGUUAUCUUGAGUUUUAGUGAAGUAGAUAGAAUGUGUCGUGUAGCGGUGAAAUGCAUAGAUAUUACACAGAAUACCGAUUGCGAAGGCAGUCUACUAACUAACAACUGACGCUAAUGGACGAAAGCGUGGGGAGCGAACAGGAUUAGAUACCCUGGUAGUCC
rnacentral:rRNA from 1 species